rnacentral:tRNA from 1 species
GGCCCGCUAGCUCAGAGGGAGAGCACCUGCCUUUUAAGCAGGGAGUCGCUGGUUCGAGUCCAGCGCGGGUCA